GCCGAAGAUGGCGACCUCCCUGGGCUCAAAUACAUACAACAGACAGAACUGGGAAGAUUCGGACUUUCCUAUUCUCUGUCAAACAUGUCUUGGGGAAAAUCCUUACAUUCGUAUGACAAAGGAAAAGUACGGCAAAGAGUGCAAGAUAUGUGCUCGUCCCUUCACUGUCUUCCGGUGGUGUCCUGGAGUGCGGAUGCGUUUUAAGAAGACCGAAGUGUGUCAGACCUGCAGUAAGAUGAAGAAUGUCUGUCAGACGUGUUUACUGGAUUUGGAGUACGGUCUUCCAAUCCAGGUCAGGGAUACGGGUGUGUCCAUUAAAGACGACAUGCCGAAAUCUGACGUGAACAAAGAAUAUUAUAUGCAGAACAUAGAGAGAGAGAUCCAGAACUCUGAUGGCACCAGGCCGGUGGGUAUGCUGGGUAAAGCUCAGAACCCCAGUGACAUGCUGCUGAAGUUGGCACGCACCACGCCGUACUACAAACGCAACAGACCCCAUAUCUGCUCUUUUUGGGUGAAGGGAGAAUGUAAGAGAGGAGAGGAGUGUCCAUACAGGCACGAAAAGCCCACAGACCCUGAUGAUCCUCUUGCUGAUCAGAACAUUAAAGAUCGUUUUUAUGGCACUAACGACCCAGUGGCUGAUAAACUGCUCAAGAGAGCGACCACCAUGCCUCGCCUGGACCCGCCCGAUGACAAGACUAUUACCACAUUGUAUAUAGGAGGUUUAGGAGAAAACGUCACUGACUCCGAGCUCAGGAAUAAUUUGUAUCAGUUUGGCGAGAUUCGGACCAUCACGCUGGUUCAGCGGCAGCAGUGCGCGUUUGUUCAGUUCGCCACGCGCCAGGGGGCAGAACUCGCAGCAGAGAAAUCCUUCAACAAGCUCAUCAUUAAUGGCCGCAGGCUGGCGGUGAAGUGGGGUCGCUCUCAGGCCGCUAAAGGCAAAGAGGUCAAGGAGGGUUUCAGUGAGAUGGGCACCAGACUGGAGCCAGUACCAGGUCUACCAGCAGCGCUUCCGCUUCCUCCAGCUCUGGAGGAUGAAGCCACAGCCAACUACUUUAAUCUGGACCCAAGCAGUUCUCCAACAGUUAUGAACAUCAGUCUACCCCCUCCACCUGGUCUACCAAACCCACCACCACCAGGUUUUGGACCUCCAAUGUUCCACCCCAUGGGUCCUCCUCCACCUCCUCCGAUGGGAUUGAGACCACCAGGCCUCAUCCAUUACCCUUCCCAGGAUCCUCAGCGCAUGGGCGCACACGCUGCAAUUCGUCACGCUGAUUGAUUGACUCCUCCCAUUUGGACUCGAUUAGCCAAUCGGCUGUAGCGUGUGGAGGGGUCAUGCUAAGCCUCUCUUGUGAUGUCAUCAGAGGGUGGAGUCUGAUGUUUGACAUCAUACAGAGUGAUUAGAAAAUGGAUCACCCGGCCUGUUUCUUUGAAAAUUGCCAGGAAGUGUCUGGUAGUUUAACUGGGCGACCUUGUUUUGAGCACAAUGCCAAGUGGAUUGCAGUCAUGUUAACAAGCUGCUGGAUGACAAUCAGUCAGACUUCAGAAGUAGACACUCCACCGAGACUGCCCUGCUGUCUGUCACGGAGACAGGCUAAAGCUGAAUCUAGAUCAUCCGCUCUGAUUCUGCUAGACCUUUCUGCAGCCUUUGACACAGUCAACCAUCAGAUCCUACUCUCCACCCUCUCUUCGCUGGGCAUCACCGGGACUGUGCUUGACUGGUUGACCUCCUAUCUCUCAGGUAGAUCCUUCAAGGUAGCCUGGAGAGGUGAGGGUACCUCAGGGUUCGGUGCUUGGGCCACUUCUCUUCUCUAUAUACACAACAUCACUGGGACCCAUCAUUCAGGUGCAUGGUUUCUCUUACCACUGCUACGCUUAAGACACGCAACUCUACUUGUCUUUCCAGCCCAACGACACCACAGUGACUGCUCGAAUCACAGCCUGCCUGGCAGACAUCUAGGUCUGCAUCAAGGAACCGGUAACUCAAUCCAGCCAAGACCGAACUCCUUGUCUUUCCAGCCAACCCAGCUGUUGGGCACAAUAUAGGUAGAAUGACAUUCCCAACUCCAUCCGUGAAGCUGACACACUCUCUGUCUGUCCAAAAUAUGACUUAAAACAAAUCUUUUCCAUGAGCACUUUAAAAUCUUGUUGCACUUUAAUCUGUUUUGAAUGCUAUUCUGAUGCUAGUGAAACUUUGUAGUAUGGCACUUUUCAUACCACUGUCUACUUAAGAUGAUUCGCUGAUGUUUUCCUCUUUUGUAAGUUGCUUUGGAUAAAAGUGUCUGCCAAAUGAAUAAA